GCUGAAAGCUUUUGUCAGCUUGCACUUCUGACGGAAGGCUGGAGGGAAAUGGAAGAGAUGGUCACUCAGGGUGUACUUCUUACAUUCCCAACAAAAACAGCAUGCGGUGCGACUGGGAUGCGGUAAACUGGUCAGCAGCAAUGGAAAUCGUUAGGCUGAUCACCAAAAAAAUCUGCAAACCAGGUGUGAUGUGCUGCUCAACCAGCAUAAAUCAGCUCAGACCAGCAUGGAAGGCGUGCGGGGAGUGCUUUUCUCUGUUUGUUUGAAGGGAAAGUGACACUUCAACUCUCAUUACUACACUACAGAGGGAAAUAAAGACCAUCCCGUGGCGGAUCGGCGCGCUUUAAGCUGAUGAGCUCAUUUAAAUCCCUGUACGGAAACAUCCAUUCACCCUUAGUUUAAACUCGAGAAAACACUGAGGAACAAACUCGGUUUCGAGGACGUGGAGUUGGUGUCUCGGCAGUCCGUCUGGGACACGCAUGGUGGUGAACGCGACCCUCGGGUUCACUGAUCACUGGUCGCUCCUGUUAAAGCUGGACUGAACUCAGAGCUCCGACAGAAGCUGCUUACCCAGAAAGCAUCGCGAAACUGCAGAGCCGUCAUUCAGAGCAGAUUCGGUGUCAGUUGUUGAGGAACGCAGUGAGCGGAGCUCCGAGGCGGGAAGAGCGAUGAGGAACAGAUCCUGCAGCUGAGCUCCUGGUGAGGAGGAAGAGCUGCUGGCAGGGAGUUUUUACUUCUGUGUUUUCGGAAGAGGAAGAACUGCUGAGUGACGCAUUCCACGGCUCUGAGUGACGCGUGUGAAGUCUGUCGAAGUCCGACAUCAACUGCCCACAGACUUCAGCUCAAAAUGCUGUUCGUCAUGAAAAGCGAUUGCUGUGUUGCUCGUUUGCCACCAGAGGGCGUUGUUUGGCUUGCUGCGGAUGACCUGUAUGCUGCCCGAACAGAGAGCUCACACGAGUGGUGCCAUUGCGGAGUAUCGAUCAGCUGAGUGUGCUCGACUGAACGAGCGUUUGAUUUCGUGAUCAAUAAAAAGUGUGAAAAUCCAAACGACGCCGACAACAAACGCGCGCCUGCAGACGUCCCGCGGUGAAACUGGCCUGAACUGAGCUAAAGGAAGCUCGGUUAUUGGUCCAGAGCGUUUCGUCGAUCCGCAGUCAGCGGAAACGGAGUUUCCUGAAUCCGGAGACAGGCGGAACUGAGUCCCUGUCAUAUGUGGUCCUAGAUCGGAUACGUGUCCGAUUCAAUGAGACGCUCAGAUCUGAAUUCAUGUGCUUCUCUUCCACUGCGCUGCGCCGUCAUUCAGCGUUACCAUGGCAACAGCGCCGAACACAAAUCAAAGCCUGUAAACGGUGGAAAAGCAGCUCAUCUCACCUUUUUGCCUUCAUCUCGCUCUAAUAGUGAACAGGUGAGCUGAUCAGAGUUCAUUUCAUUCACGUGACUUUGCGGAGGGGAUGUGCCCAUGCGGGUCAUUUCAGUUCCUUCACAUAGACCACUGUAGUCCUGUCCUGUUCUCAUGCCCAUAUUAGGAGCCCCCCCCCCGGGGGUAAACAACAAUGUUCAGACCCUGAUACGAUACAGUGAACGGUGUCCUCUCCAACACCACUGGGUCCUCUGAACCACGAGGUCGUUAAAGAGCUGUAAACGCAAUGUAAAACUCAAACCAGAGAACUGUAGAGAGCAGAAUCACCUCUUUGUAAUGGGUCCAAAAUGAAUGGGUCAUCAACAUGGAAUAGCAUAAACAUGUUAGUGGUGCUUGAAAGUUUGUGAACCCUUUAGAAAUUUAUUCAGAAAUAUAGAAAAUUCGAAAGGGUUCUUUUGCAAGCACCACUGUAGCACUACUGUUAUAUAUAUUUUUCAGAAGUAAUCAAGUUAUAAGUUUAAAACGGUGCCUAUAUUUAUGACGUCUGUGAACGCAAACAGCCAAUGAGCUGGUCCGCUCAGCAAUCAGCACUCAGUAGCAGUAAUACUAGCCUCUGCUGCCCAAAGCAGCUUGCUGUAGAAAAAAGGAAACGGGUAAGUUUUCUUUCCUUUCUUUAGUGAAAUACAUCCUUCUACUUUCUAAAUGAAAGGACAGUUCUGGGCAAGUGGUUAGAAACUAUUUUCAAGUUACUCCCAUUCAUUGAGGACUUGCGCUUGCUGGUGGUUUGCAAUCUUGUUUUUGACAUAACGGGGAAAAUAGGAAGUGACCAGGCUCCUAAACCAGCUCUGCUCAAACUUCAUGCUGCAGCUUUUUUAUAUAAAACUCACCCGGAUUUAUUUUGGAUUUCCUAGGGUGCGCAUGUGCAGAAUAGUCUGCUGUACCGGUGUUACGGUAAAUUCAGUUCCCCGUUCCUCCUCAUUGCGCAUGUUAAUCACAGUGUCUUCAGUUGACUCUUCUUUGCAGGGCUUAGAUGGGCUUAAAUCUCCUAAAUCCAAAUUUACUCUGGUUUUUCAUCUCCAAUCAUAUUUUGUGCACAAUUUCUCCCCACAUAGUCUUUUAUGUAACAACUCUGAAAUAACUAUUAGGAAUAAGUCCUAGUUUUUUUUUUCCAAAUGGUUUAAAAAGAAGUAUGAAUAAUAUUCUUAUCAUGCUAUACCCUUAUUGCUUUUGGGUGGUAUGAAUAUACUUGAAAAAAAAUGUGAUAACAUAUACAACAUAUUCUUCAACAAAGAAACAACUUCCCCACGGGUAAGUUCUAUUGGAUGUCCUUUAUUGAGCAUAUCAGUUGGAAAAGGAUUUGGCUUUUGCCUCAUAAAUACUGCAUAAAAUGCAUAAAUACUACAUAAAUCAUAAAAAAAAUAAUGUCCAAUAAGAUCAAAGAAGUUCACUUUAAAAUUUUACAUAAAAUAUACCCUGUGAAGUCUAUUAUUUCCAAAUUUGUUGACAUUAAUAGCUUUUGCUCCUUCUGUGGAUCUGCUGAUGAAACAUUGACUUACCUGUUCUUCAGUGUGAGAGAACGAACGACUUCUGGUCCAACUUAUGCGCUCACGUUUUUAACCCUGUCAAAAUGACUUAGUCCUUCCAUAUUGAAGGUGUUAAGAGUGAAUGUGUAAUAAGCAAGCACUUGACAGAUUUCCACCCAGAUAUUUUACAUGAUUCAUCGAGGGGAUUGUGCCUGUUGAUUUGCUUUAUGUCUAAAGAAACUCAUAGUGAAAGGUUUUUGUCAUUGGAUGCUGUGAAUGGUCGUAUAACAUCAUUUCCUUAUAAAGACGCAGAUAAAGUCAGACCUCACAAAAUCCCCAAGUCUAGUUUUUUGAAAGGAACAACUGGGGGCAAUGGCCAUGAAAAUUGGACAUUGUUAAGGUUGUUGCCUCUAAUGAUGGGUGACUGAACAUGAACCAGCCUGGGAGAUACUCAUGGAUCUCAAAAGAUAUUAGAGAUUGUAGUUUCUUCAAAGUUCUCAGAAGAAUCCUUGAAUUACUUGCAUUGACCACCGCAAGUUAUUUCUUGAGACCUUUCCUGAGGUGUGCCUGCAUCCCAAACAUCACUACAUGGAACAUUAUCCACAUCUGAUUAGGUGCUUUGGACCACUUGUGGAAUUAUGGACCGAGAAUUGAAGUUAAUCAUAGCUUCUUUAAGAAGGUUGUCAGUGACGCCCAUAAUUUCAAGAAUGUUCUUCUGACUCUUGCAUCUAGGCAUCAGUUAAUGGUUGUGUACUAUCUUGAUAGCUCACAACUCCUCGAGGAUUCUCUCCAGGUUGAAGGUGUUAAAGUUGUUAGUACCCUUUCUUUAGAUAUAGCAUGGAGAUCUGCAAUUCAGAAGACAUUUCCACAUCAUAAACUGUCCUUGUCCUCUAGUGUCCAUUUAAAUGGAAUCAGAUACACAGAGGAUCAUUUCUUCGUUGUUGAGAAUGAGAUUUGAUUUCUCUGCACACUCCUGCCAUCCUGGACAUCUAAGAUCAUACGAACUAGCUGAGAGUCAGUAUGCUGUAACACACGUCCUGACUCUUAACGAUCUCGAUGAUUUUCAUCCAUUGACCGCUUACCCUGUGAGUGGGAAGCUGUUUGUAACACCCAAGAAAUUCCUGCUCCAUUAAUUUGUAAGUUUGUAUUUGUUAAUUUAACUCUGAUUAAAUAUGUUGAACAGUGAAGGGUUUUUAAAUCUUAUGUCUGUCGAUUUGUUUGUUUCAGGUUCCUCACGUGCUCAAGUCUUUCUGCUGAAUGUGAAGUUCUAAGUCAUUAUUAAGGGCUAGAUAAGUGUAUACUUUUUUGUGCUAUUCUUCUGUGCUUUUUUAUGCUUUAUAAGGCGGAAAGUAAGCAAACUACAUACAACCCCAAUUCCAGUGAAGUUGGGACGUUAUGUAAAACAAAUAAAAACAGAAUAUGAUGAUUUGCAAA